AGUAAAAGUGGUAACAAGGUCUCUGUAGGUGAACCUGCGGAGGGAUCAUUACAAGUGACCCCGGUCUAACCACCGGGAUGUUCAUAACCCUUUGUUGUCCGACUCUGUUGCCUCCGGGGCGACCCUGCCUUCGGGCGGGGGCUCCGGGUGGACACUUCAAACUCUUGCGUAACUUUGCAGUCUGAGUAAACUUAAUUAAUAAAUUAAAACUUUUAACAACGGAUCUCUUGGUUCUGGCAUCGAUGAAGAACGCAGCGAAAUGCGAUAAGUAAUGUGAAUUGCAGAAUUCAGUGAAUCAUCGAAUCUUUGAACGCACAUUGCGCCCCCUGGUAUUCCGGGGGGCAUGCCUGUUCGAGCGUCAUUUCACCACUCAAGCCUCGCUUGGUAUUGGGCAACGCGGUCCGCCGCGUGCCUCAAAUCGUCCGGCUGGGUCUUCUGUCCCCUAAGCGUUGUGGAAACUAUUCGCUAAAGGGUGUUCGGGAGGCUACGCCGUAAAACAACCCCAUUUCUAAGGUUGACCUCGGAUCAGGUAGGGAUACCCGCUGAACUUAAGCAUAUCAAUAAGCGGAGGAAAAGAAACCAACAGGGAUUGCCUCAGUAACG
rnacentral:rRNA from 1 species